rnacentral:rRNA from 1 species
GUUUGAUCCUGGCUCAGAAUCAACGCUGGCGGCGCGCCUAACACAUGCAAGUCGAACGAGAAAGUGGAGCAAUCCAUGAGUAAAGUGGCGUACGGGUGAGUAACACGUGGAUAAUCUGCCCUUUAGUGGGGAAUACCGUUGGGAAACCGACGACAAUACCGCAUAAGCUCGAGAGAGGAAAGCAGCAAUGCGCUGAAGGAGGAGUCCGCGGUCGAUUAGCUAGUUGGUGAGGUAAUGGCUCACCAAGGCUGUGAUCGAUAGCCGGCCUGAGAGGGCACACGGCCACACUGGCACUGAAACACGGGCCAGACUCCUACGGGAGGCAGCAGUGGGGAAUCUUGCACAAUGGGGGAAACCCUGAUGCAGCGACGCCGCGUGAGCGAUGAAGCCCUUCGGGGUGUAAA